rnacentral:rRNA from 1 species
GAUGAACGCUGGCGGCGUGCCUAACACAUGCAAGUCGAACGGAAGGACCAUAAGCUUGUGGGGUUGAUGUUUGCGGCAGGCGGGAGUGUAACGCGUGUAUCAUCUACUUAUAUUUCGGGUAUAAUCACGGAACUCGGGAUAAUAUACCAGAGAAUAUUCUGAACCGCAGGGUGCAAUGGAGAAUUACGGCGUUGGGGGCUGGUCUAGAGGGUUACGCGCUGGAUGAGCUAGUUGGUAAGUUAACGGCUUACCACGGCGACGAUGCGUGGCCGAGCGGUGGGGCGGAUCGGCCACCCUGGAACUGAGACACGGUCCAGAGGCCUACGGGAGGCAGCAGUAGGGAAUCGGCGGCAAUGGGCGGAAGCAUGACGCAGCGACGCCGCGUGUGUGAUGGAGGUCUUCGGUUCGUAAAGCCCUGUUAUUGGGUAAGAACAGCUGUCUCCUUAGACGAAGAGUUCGUGACGGUACUUAAUCAAAAAGCACCGGCUAACUACGUG